rnacentral:rRNA from 1 species
UGGUGGAGUGAUUUGUCUGGUUAAUUCCGUUAACGAACGAGACCUUAACCUGCUAACUAGUUUCCCUGGGUACUCCGGGGGCAACUUCUUAGAGGGACUUCGUGGGCAACCACGCGGAAGUGUGAGGCAAUAACA